rnacentral:rRNA from 1 species
UUUUAUGGAGAGUUUGAUCCUGGCUCAGGAUGAACGCUGGCGGCGUGCCUAAUACAUGCAAGUCGAGCGAACAGACGAGGAGCUUGCUCCUCUGACGUUAGCGGCGGACGGGUGAGUAACACGUGGAUAACCUACCUAUAAGACUGGGAUAACUUCGGGAAACCGGAGCUAAUACCGGAUAAUAUAUUGAACCGCAUGGUUCAAUAGUGAAAGACGGU